rnacentral:rRNA from 1 species
CCUACGGGGGGCAGCAGUGAGGAAUAUUGGUCAAUGGGCGAGAGCCUGAACCAGCCAAGCCGCGUGAGGGAGUACUGCCCUAUGUGUUGUAAACCUCUUUUGUCGGGGAGCAAAAGCCGGUACUGUUCGGCUGUGAGAGUUCCCGAAACAAAAGCAACGGCCAACCCCGUGCCAGCAGCCGCGGUAAUACGGAGGAUGCGAGCCUUUUCCGGAUUUUUGGGGUUUAAAGGGUGCGGUGGCGGAAUGUUAAGUCAGCGGGAAAAUCGUGGGGCUCAACCCCGUCCCGCCGUUGAAACUGGGGGACUAGAGUGGGCGAGAGGUAUGCGGAAUGCGUGGUGUAGCGGUGAAAUGCAUAGAUAUCACGCAGAACCCCGAUUGCGAAGGCAGCAUACCGGUGCACAACUGACGCUGAGGCACGAAAGCGUGGGUAUCGAACAGGAUUAGAUACCCGUGUAGUC